UGAAAUUUUGAAUAAUAUCGUUUUAAUAAUUUGUGAAACGAAUUAGUUUGGUUUUUUUCAUUUUUAUUAGUUUCCGUCAGUGCUGAUUGACGCGCCACUCCAGUUUCCAUUUCCGUUUCUCGAAAUUUCCUACGUCCUUGGUCUUUGGGACUCUUUGCCCAGGUAACUGCAUUGCUUCUGGGUACGUCUCACCGUUCGGGUCUCUCGAGCUUUCGGUGUCAGUUGUUACCGUUGAAGGAAGAGAAGCUGGUGACGGAUAUUAUCGAAUAAAUCGUUUAUUCUGGAAAAGUUCGAAUAUUUCUGGUCUACGCACUCCAGUGCCCGCACAGCAGAUAUUGAAACACCUGAUUUUCACCUAUUCUACAGCGACAACAUUUCUUGAUUUUUUACAACCAUGAAGAAUUCGUACUCGGAAAUACUUGCAAUGCUCAUCUGCUUGCACGUUAUUUUCGUCACUUUCUUCCCGUUAGGGGCUGGUAAGUUGAUACUGAUUAAUUAUACCAUCGAAAUUCUAUAUAAUGGCUACAAAAAAUAUUUGCAUCAUUACCCUCAUUUCCUAACGAAGCGCGUUUUUUUACCAAGUUUUAUAUUUCAUUUCAUAGUAUCAAAUCUCUGUAGUUACAGGAAAGUAUUAAAUGAUAGGAAACUUGAUAUACACGAAUUUAAUUAAUUAAUAAGUUAGUCGAUAUACAGCCAUUAUUAUUUCAUGUGAAAUAUUACAACGUCAGAAACUUAACGUUCCUGUACGUACAGUAUUAAUCACAAAUUGUAAGAAUGUUUACUGAUAAGCAAAAUAGAUAAUAUGGAAAACGCAGACCUAUGGAAAGAGAAUUCCUGACAUUAGACAGGAAUACGCGAUUGCACGAAAUAUUUUAUGGUAUGUCUAACAUGGAGAAUAUAUGCG